rnacentral:rRNA from 1 species
AGUGAACGCUGGCGGUAGGCCUAACACAUGCAGGUCGAACGGCGGCACAGUAAGAGCUUGCUCUUACGGGUGGCGAGUGGCGGACGGGUGAGGAAUACAUCGGAAUCUACUUUUUCGUGGGGGAUAACGUAGGGAAACUUACGCUAAUACCGCAUACGACCUACGGGUGAAAGCAGGGGAUCUUCGGACCUUGCGCGAUUGAAUGAGCCGAUGUCGGAUUAGCUAGUUGGCGGGGUAAAGGCCCACCAAGGCGACGAUCCGUAGCUGGUCUGAGAGGAUGAUCAGCCACACUGGAACUGAGACACGGUCCAGACUCCUACGGGAGGCAGCAGUGGGGAAUAUUGGACAAUGGGCGCAAGCCUGAUCCAGCCAUACCGCGUGGGUGAAGAAGGCCUUCGGGUUGUAAAGCCCUUUUGUUGGGAAAGAAAAGCAGCAGGUUAAUACCCCGCUGUUCUGACGGUACCCAAAGAAUAAGCACCGGCUAACUUCGUG